AACGAACGCUGGCGGCAUGCCUAACACAUGCAAGUCGAACGAGACCUUCGGGUCUAGUGGCGCACGGGUUCGUAACGCGUGGGAACCUGCCCUUAGGUUCGGAAUAACUCCCCGAAAGGGGUGCUAAUACCGGAUAAUGUCUUCGGACCAAAGAUUUAUCGCCUUUGGAUGGGCCCGCGUUGGAUUAGCUAGUUGGUAGGGUAAAAGCAUACCAAGGCGACGAUUCAUAGCUGGUCUGAGAGGAGGAUCAGCCACACUGGGACUGAGACGCGGCCCAGACUCCUACGGGAGGCAGCAGUGGGGAAUAUUGGACAAUGGGCGAAGGCCUGAUCCAGCAAUGCCGCGUGAGUGAUGAAGGCCUUAGGGUUGUAAAGCUCUUUUACCCGGGAUGAUAAUGACAGUACCGGGAGAAUAAGCUCCGGCUAACUCCGUG
rnacentral:rRNA from 1 species